rnacentral:rRNA from 1 species
AGUGAACGCUGGCGGUAGGCCUAACACAUGCAAGUCGAACGGCAGCACAGUAAGAGCUUGCUCUUACGGGUUGCGAGUGGCGGACGGGUGAGGAAUACAUCGGAAUCUACUUUUUCGUGGGGGAUAACGUAGGGAAACUUACGCUAAUACCGCAUACGACCUACGGGUGAAAGCAGGGGAUCUUCGGACCUUGCGCGAUUGAAUGAGCCGAUGUCGGAUUAGCUAGUUGGCGGGGUAAAGGCCCACCAAGGCGACGAUCCGUAGCUGGUCUGAGAGGAUGAUCAGCAAAACUGGAACUGAGACACGGUACAGACUCCUACGGGAGGAAGCAGUGGGGAAUAUUGGACAAUGGGCGCAAGCCUGAUCCAGCCAUACCGCGUGGGUGAAGAAGGCCUUCGGGUUGUAAAGCCCUUUUGUUGGGAAAGAAAAGCAGCAGGUUAAUACCCCGCUGUUCUGACGGUACCCAAAGAAUAAGCACCGGCUAACUUCGUG